GGCAGACGGGUGAGUAACACGUUGAACAACCUACCCUUGAGUGUGGAAUAACACCGCGAAAGCGGUGCUAAUACCGCAUAACAUCUUCGGGUCGCAUGAUCUGGAGAUCAAAAGCGCAAGUUGCUUGAGAAGGGGUUCGCGCCUGAUUAGCUAGUUGGUGAGGUAACGGCCCACCAAGGCUUCGAUCAGUAGCCGGCCUGAGAGGGCGAACGGCCACACUGGAACUGAGACACGGUCCAGACUCCUACGGGAGGCAGCAGUGGGGAAUUUUGCGCAAUGGGCGAAAGCCUGACGCAGCAACGCCGCGUGGAGGAUGAAGGCCUUCGGGUCGUAAACUCCUGUCAGUA
rnacentral:rRNA from 1 species